GACGAACCGUGCGAACGUUGUUCGGAAUCACUGGGCUUAAAGGGCGCGUAGGCGGGCCAGCAAGUCCUGGGUGAAAUCCCCCGGCCCAACCGGGGAACUGCCUGGGAUACUGCGGGUCUGGAGUGGGGUAGGGGCGUGCGGAACUUCCGGUGGAGCGGUGAAAUGCGUUGAUAUCGGAAGGAACUCCGGUGGCGAAGGCGGCGCGCUGGACCCCGACUGACGCUGAGGCGCGAAAGCCAGGGGAGCGAACGGG
rnacentral:rRNA from 1 species